AACGCACAUUGCGCCCUAUGGUAUUCCGUAGGGCAUGCCUGUUCGAGCGUCAUUUACACCUUCAAGCUCUGCUUGGUGUUGGGUGACUGUGGCCCCUGGGCCACUCGCCUCAAAGGUAUUGGCGGCCGGUUUGUAGGCUUCGAGCGCAGCACAUUUGCGUCCUCGUCUCCCGCAGAUCGGCUCCCAGAAGCUAUCUUUUACUGUUUGACCUCGGAUCAGGUAGGGAUACCCGCUGAACUUAA
rnacentral:misc_RNA from 1 species